CUUCACCGAGCCGAGGAGCAGGGGCCGUUCGGCGUCCCGGUCCUGUCCGUAGGUGGUGAGCAGUGCCUGUGCCUC
rnacentral:antisense_RNA from 1 species